rnacentral:sRNA from 1 species
UGAAAGUUUAGAAAUCAACAUACAAAUUUUGUGUGAAUUAGUCCUAUACUAUACUCGAUUAGAGCUAAGAGUAUACCAAAUUAAAUGAAAUUUUAAUAAUUACAAUUUAAAUCAUGUAGUAACGAUAAAUUCGCAUAGUGGAUUAUCUCGCUGGGGAAUAACAUAAUUUCGAUUGUUUAAAAUACAGAAAUAAUUAACAGUAAAUGAGCAAAAUGGCCGCAGCCGCCCCACUGUCUGACUCGGCCUCCCAUGUCUCAGAGGCUUUUAGUGGCCAAGAUUUCGACCAAGACGGUGAAGACAAUGACGAAAACAGAACAGAGGCUAACUCUCUGGGUUAUUCAUUACGGGACAAGGACAGAAAGAUAGGACAUCGGAGAGUGGAUAAAUCUGGCAUUGUAUCAUAUAAAAAGGUAAGAUAAUUUUUAUCUACUGAGGUUUAUUGUACAUAACCUAACAUGGCUGUAAGAACCCAGCUGUGAUUUACUCAUUUCCUACUUAAAUGCAGAGCAGCUGUGAUUAACUCAUUCUCUAAUGGAGUCCAACUGUGAUUAGAUUAUUUCCUACUGUAACCCAGCUGUGAUUUACUCAUUUCCUACUGUAGCCCAGCUGUGAUUGACUCAUUACCUAAAUGAACCCAGCUGUGAUUGACUCAUUGCCCAGUGGAAACCUACUGUGAUUUACACCUUUCCUAAUGAAACCCAGCUUUGAUUUUACACAUACUCCUGACAGAAUCAAGAUGUGAUUGAACAUUUUCUAUGAAGGUCCACUGUGAUUUAAAUUCUUUCAAAUAGGACCCAACAGUAAUUAAUCUACAACUGUCACAGAGGGAACUUUUUGAAUGGUGUAGUAUAACCUGGCGUAGUCUGAAGUUUCUCAUGAUGUGAUGUACAAACUUUCCCAUUAGUGAAAUCAUUGUUUUGUGGGUCUCAUUACCAUUGUUUUGUGGGGCUCUUUAUUAUUGUUUUAUUGGGAUCUUUACCAUUGUUUUAUGGAGCUCUUUACCAUUGUUUUAUUGGGAUCUUUACCAUUGUUUUAUGGAGCUCUUUACCAUUGUUUUAUGGGGAUCUUUACCAUAAUUUUAUGGAGCUCUUUACCAUUGUUUUAUUGGGAUCUUUACCAUUGUUUUAUGGAGCUCUUUACCAUUGUUUUAUGGAGCUCUUUACCAUUGUUUUAUGGGGCUCUUUACCAUUGU